rnacentral:rRNA from 1 species
UACGUAGGGGGCGAGCGUUGUCCGGAGUUACUGGGCGUAAAGGGCACGCAGGCGGUGCGGCGCGUUUCGCGUGACAGCGGAGGGCUUAACUCUCCGAGGAUGCGAAAGACGGCGGCACUUGAGGGCCAGAGAGGGACACGGAAUUCCGGGUGGAGUGGUGAAAUGCGUAGAUAUCGGGAGGAACACCUGUGGCGAAAGCGGCUCACUGGACCACAACUGACGCUGAGGCGCGAAAGCUAGGGGAGCAAACAGG